CAGGUGAACAGAAUAUACAGUCAGGUGUCUCUGUGUGAACCUAUCACCAUGCACGUGCGCUUUGUUCUCACAUUGAUGUGUCUACUUCUUCUUUGUGUCUCAACAAGUCAAUCCCCUGCACCCUGCAGUCCACCCUGUAUGUCCACUCAGAAAUGUUUGACUUUUAACCCAGACUGUGAAGGGCCGCCACCGGACUGUGUUCAGUGUCAGUCUGACUGUCAGGCAGUUCAUAUAUGUAUUGACAUCACGUCAGACAAACCAGAUGCCUAAUAAAUCUAUUUUUAGUAUAACAAA